rnacentral:lncRNA from 1 species
CAGGGACACACAAAAAUCCCACAUCAUUUUGGACACCCUCGAGAAUCCCACAUUACAACUUUUUAAAGUUAGUGUGCUCGAGAUUACAGUCCUCGAGGAAAUCACAACCCAACUUUUAAAGUAGUGUGCUCGAGGAUUACAGUCCUCGAGAAUGUCAUUCAUUUUUUAAAAGUCUAGUGUGCUCGAGAUUACAGUCCUCAAGGAAAUCACAACCCAACUUUUAAAGUAGUGUGCUCGAGGAUUACAGUCCUCGAGAAUGUCAUUCAUUUUUUAAAAACGUCUAGUUGUGCUCGGGAUUACAGUCCUCGAGAAUGGCCUCAUUUUUUAAGAUUAAUUGUGCUCGAGGUUUACAGUCCUCAAGAAUGUCACUCAGUUUUAAAAGUUUAGUUGUGCUCGGGAUUACAGUCCCCGAGAACGGCCUCAUUUUUUAAGGUUAAUUAUGCUCGAGAUUUACGGUCCUCGAGAAUGACACAUCAUAUUUUUUAUUUGUGCUCGAGAAUGUUCGUCUCACCUUUUAAUCCCUAUCCUCGAGAUAUCGCGUGAGCAGUAAGUUUCGAAUUUGUUUGCUCGAUUAUAUGGAGUCCAAGGGGUUGAGAUAAAUAGUUCGAAUAAAUUAACUAAACAUACAUAAUCCUCGAUCAAUUUACAUUGUCGAAAUUAAACCAAAAAAUUACAAAGGAUCGGGGUGGGGAAGUCAUCCAAUGUGGCCAAGAGGAGGGUCGAGGUUGCUGAUGUCGAUCUCAACGUCGUCCUCAAGACUAUCCUCAUCAUCUCCACCCGAUCUUCCUCCAUCUUCCGAACCCGAGAGCUCCAAUGUAUCAGCAAUGGAAGGCACCGUCUUCAGGUCGUCUGGAGUGACGUCGGGCAACUUCUGCCUGAGGAAGGCCCGGGCUUCUUUCAGAGCAUGGAAGUACGCUCCCGACGCAUACUCCCCUUUUAUCCUGUCGCAGUCCUCGGAGGUUUUAAACUCCUCCCAAGCCCUCUCCCUUACAGCCUCGAGCUCGCGCCCGAAAUCCUCCGUCUUCUGGAUGAGCUCGAGCCUCGCGCCCUCAACCUCAUCCUUUGCUGCAGCCAAGUCAUCCCUGGCCUUCGCAGCCUCCCUCCUUGCGUCAUCACGCUCCUUCAGUAAAACCUCGACCUGGGCCUCGAGGUCUUGAAUCCUGCUGUCCUUAGAGGCCAGAGACGUCUCGACCCCAGCUGCCCUCUUGGCCUCCUCGAGCCCUUGCAGAGAGAGUCCUCGAGCUAUACUCAACAUCUGGAAAAAAUGAAGAAAAUGUCAAGUGUUAAGCUCGACCAAUAAACUCGAGGUUAAAGUCAAAAGUUCGAAGAUUACCUUCACUGUAAGACCCUCGAGGACCUUCAUCCCAUCCUCGAGCUUGACCUCCUCUUUGUAUUUGUUUACAAGCUCAGGAGCGAGGUGACAAGUCCCAAAGUCCCCAGUGAGAGACGGCUCAUCCUCGAGGUCAACCACUUCAGAAGGAGGCCGAGGAGUGACGACCCGAGGAGUCGGAGAUCUGAGGUUCGGUUGCAGAGGGGUCGAGACUUCUGGAUGUCCUCGAGAAGUUUCGCCAGGCCCCCUCGCACCCUCAGGACCCCCUCGAGGCCUCUUCUUGCUUUUCUUCCUCGAGGGCUGCCCCUGUGGAGGGGCGCCUCCCCUUGUGCUGACAAAGUUCCGGAGAGCACGAGGAUCAAAAGACAUACCUGCAAAUAUUUACAAACAUUUUAGAACGAGCAACAAGGUCAGGGUAUCUUUCAAAAAAUAACAAUAAAGGAACAUCCCUACCCUCGACGCCUCUAAUAUCUGCCAGGUCUAAAACCUCUUCCCCAAUCUCCUUCAUCGUCGAGAAAAGGGGGCUGAGCCCGACCAGCAUCCUCCUAUGCUCUUCCAGAACAUCUGGAUACACCUGGCCCUCACAGAACUUCUCGGCGUCAGGGAUUCCCCAAUCAGGCCAGAAAGGAAGAUCGGGUUCUUGGGCUACAACAUAAAACCACCCCUCCCUCCACCCCUUUAAAGAGCUCGCCAUCCUCGGGACUUUAAAGCCCCCAGUCGUCGAGAGAUAGCCAAAACACGUGUAUCGAGGAUGCUUCUUAAGCUCGAACACUAACUUGCUGAGGCUAACGUUGGGCUCGAUACCUAAGUAUCUACAUGCUAUAAAAAAGUAAACGAGCAUCCUCCAGGCGUUGGGCACUAAUUGCCCCGGGCACAUGGAGUGCUCGACUAAUAGAGCAAUAAAGAAGGGGUGAAGGGGCCACCUAAAGCCAGCCUUAAGGGUCUCCCUAAAAAUAACAAACUCCCCUCGUCGUGCUCGAAUAAUCCUAUCCUCGGGGUCAGGAAAUCUAACAUCACAAUUAGGCAUUAUACCAUAUUCCCUAGCCG